UCCUACGGGUGGCUGCAGUGGGGAAUUUUGGACAAUGGGCGCAAGCCUGAUCCAGCCAUGCCGCGUGCGGGAAGAAGGCCUUCGGGUUGUAAACCGCUUUUGUCAGGGAAGAAAUCUUCUGGGCUAAUACCUCGGGAGGAUGACGGUACCUGAAGAAUAAGCACCGGCUAACUACGUGCCAGCAGCCGCGGUAAUACGUAGGGUGCAAGCGUUAAUCGGAAUUACUGGGCGUAAAGCGUGCGCAUGCGGUUGUGCAAGACAGGUGUGAAAUCCCCGGGCUUAACCUGGGAACUGCACUUGUGACUGCACGGCUGGAGUGCGGCAGAGGGGGAUGGAAUUCCGCGUGUAGCAGUGAAAUGCGUAGAUAUGCGGAGGAACACCGAUGGCGAAGGCAAUCCCCUGGGCCUGCACUGACGCUCAUGCACGAAAGCGUGGGGAGCAAACAGGAUUAGAUACCCGAGUAGUCU
rnacentral:rRNA from 1 species